UGUGCAUGUGUGGUCCCAGCUACUAGAGAGGCUGAGCCCAGGAAGGAUCGCUGGAGCCCAGGAGGUUAAGGAUGCAGUGAGUCAUGCACUUCAGACAUUGGGUGACAGAAUGAGACCUUGUCUCCAAAAAUAAAAAAGUUUAUGUUACAGUCAUUGAUUUGAUUUGAGAAAUAGUAAUAUGACUUUACGGUAUUCAUCCCUCAUGAAUUAUAAAAUAGCACAAAUGUUUUAAAAAAAUUUUAAACUGAUAAAUAUAAGAAACAAGAAAUACAUAGGAAAGAAAAAGUAAAUCCAAAAAUAUGUGUAAAACAGAUUCUGUGAUAAUAGCUUUGAUUAUUUUGGAAAAAUGUUACUGUCGCAGCUUCCUUAAUUUUAUUAUUAACCUAAAUAUUUCUGAUCUAUAAGUAGUAAGAAAAAGGGUAACAGUGAUGUAGAAUUUGCAAAAUCUUCCACUGAAAACUUUAUAGAUGUUUUAUUUUUAUGUGUAGGAGCAUUCAAUUUAUAUUCCUGAUUCCUGCUUUGACAUUUUUAGUAUCCUGCACUUAGUGGGUAUGUCUUAGGGUCUUAAGCAAAUGGAUACUGUGGAGUAAAUCUGAAGCAUUAACAUACUGGCAGCUGACUAAAAGGAAACUUCUGUUUUGAGGAGAGAACAAAACAACUCUGAUGUAUAAAUCUACCUCUUUACAAGCAUUUCACUCUGACAAAAAUUUAUGGCAUUUCUUGAUUGGCUAUAUUACUUUGCUAAGACUGCCAAUAACAGAGUCCAUAAUGAAACUAGUUUCCUCCAUUUCCUCUAGGAGACCAAAGUCAAACAUUCAAAAAACUGCCAAACUAAAACAAGAACUCUUUUCUUUUUGAUACUACAUACAGACUAAACUUAUAAAAAUAGAAAGUACUCUGGGGAAAGUUCUAAACUUUCGUGACCUAGACAGAAUUAUCAACACAUUCUGACACAGUAUACAUCUUUUUUCAGGGAUCCAUAGCAGCCAAAUGUCAUAACUUCUUGGUUACCUCAUUGAAGAUUUUCUUCUAUCUUUUAAGAUUUCAGGAGUACAAAAGAAACUGUGGCAACUCUAGGUCCUUGAACCUAGGACCCAUUUCUAACCACAAAAGAGAUUUCAAGUGUUCCUUUUCCUCAGUGUGUAAAUCAUAGAUGGAUUAAACUUAUGAGACAUAAUCUCAAAAAUUAUAACAGUAGCAAAUUCACCUGUGUCAUUCACUCACUUAACAAGUUGUAUAGUAGGAGCAAAACAGACCAAUAUCCCUGCCUCAUGGAGCUUGUGUUUUUGGGGGGAGAUAGAUGGUAAACAAAGUACUGGAUAUUAGAUUGUGAUAACUGUUGAGGAAAAAUAGGAAGCAGAGCAGGGAAAUACAGAGUGUUGGGUUAUUCCAAUUUUAAAUAGUUGGUCAGGACAAUUUCAUUGAGAAGGUGAAAAAAAAAAAAAAA